AGAGUGCUGAUUGGUGCAUAUACAAUCCUCCGGCUAGACAUAAAAGUUCUCCAAGUCCCCACCGGACUCAGGAGCCGAGCGGGCUUCUGCUAGUGGAUCCCGCAACGUCUCACAACGUUGUUGUUCAGGCUGGUCUCAAACUCCUGAACUCAAACAAUCCUCUCACCAUGAUGUCUCAAGUAGCUAAGAUUACAGACAUGCACCACCAUGCUCAGCAAAUUUGACUGUUACCUUUCUCUCCUCUGAUUUCUCAGAAGGACAAAUGCUGGCUUGGUGCAUGGCUUGGAGCAGUGGUGCACCUUGCAUUGUCAUCCACGCCCAUGGAAACUGCGAAGAUGGAGUUCUAAUAGAACACAGCCCUUCCUCUGACGUGCACAGGAUAUGAAAAUGUCUGAUAGUGUUGUGGCUGCAGUGAGACCUGGGAGUGGCAGUUUCUUUCACUGCAGUUGUCUGUCCAAAGCGAAGUGAACUAGCAAGUCUCUUACAAAAGGGCAAGCUCUGAACUGCGCACAGUUUCAUAGGUCUCUAAUCGUGGGAAACCUCGUAUGGCAGAAUGCAGGUCCAAAAGUCCUGGACUCUGAUCCAGAUAAACGGAAGUCUCAGGAAGAAAUAAAGAAAUUGGGACACAGAGAAUGUAAAUGGAGAUGCAGUGGAAUCAGACUCCAGAGUUCCCACUCAAAAACUUUUCUCUCUCUCCUAUCUUGUGAGGAAGGACAUUUUAGGUAUUACUUCAUCUAGAAAGGAAUGGCUCUUCAGCGAGGCAAGCAGAACUGGGAAUGCAGAGCCCAGGUUUGCAGCUUCACUUCUGAAGUCAAGC
rnacentral:lncRNA from 1 species